UACGGGGGGUGCAACCGUUGCUCGGAAUUAUUGGGCGUAAAGCGCACGUAGGCGGUCCUGUAAGUCGGGUGUGAAAGCCCCAGGCUUAACCUGGGAAGUGCACUCGAAACUGUGAAGCUCGAGUAUGGAAGAGGGUCGCGGAAUUCCCGGUGUAGAGGUGAAAUUCGUAGAUAUCGGGAGGAACACCAGUGGCGAAGGCGGCGACCUGGGCCAAUACUGACGCUGAGGUGCGAAAGCGUGGGGAGCAAACAGG
rnacentral:rRNA from 1 species